GAUGAACGCUAGCGACAGGCCUAACACAUGCAAGUCGAGGGGCAGCACAUGAGUAGCAAUACGAUGGUGGCGACCGGCGCACGGGUGAGUAACACGUAUGCAACCUGCCUUCUACUAUGGGAUAACCCGUUGAAAGACGGACUAAUACCGUAUAAUACAGGUGCUCCGCAUGGAGAUAUUUGUUAAAGAUUUAUUGGUAGAAGAUGGGCAUGCGUAAGAUUAGAUAGUUGGUGAGGUAACGGCUCACCAAGUCAACGAUCAUUAGGGGUUCUGAGAGGAAGGUCCCCCACACUUGUACUGAGACACGGACCAGACUCCUACGGGAGGCAGGAGUGAGGAAUAUUGGUCAAUGGACGAGAGUCUGAACCAGCCAAGUCGCGUGAAGGAAGACGGUUCUAUGAAUUGUAAACUUCUUUUGUGCAGGAAUAAAGUGGGUUACGUGUAACCUUUUGUAUGUACUGUACGAAUAAGGAUCGGCUAACUCCGUGCCAGCAGCCGCUGUAAGAC
rnacentral:rRNA from 1 species